rnacentral:rRNA from 1 species
GAUGAACGCUGGCGGCGUGCCUAAUACAUGCAAGUCGAGCGAAUGGAUUAAGAGCUUGCUCUUAUGAAGUUAGCGGCGGACGGGUGAGUAACACGUGGGUAACCUGCCCAUAAGACUGGGAUAACUCCGGGAAACCGGGGCUAAUACCGGAUAAUAUUUUGAACUGCAUGGUUCAAAAUUGAAAGGCGGCUUCGGCUGUCACUUAUGGAUGGACCCGCGUCGCAUUAGCUAGUUGGUGAGGUGACGGCUCACCAAGGCAACGAUGCGUAGCCGUCCUGAGAUGGGGAUCGGCCACACUGGGACUGAGACACGGCCCAGACUCCGACGGGAGGCAGCAGUAGGGAAUCUUCCGCAAUGGACGAAAGUCUGACGGAGCAACGCCGCGUGAGUGAUGAAGGCUUUCGGGUCGUAAAACUCUGUUGUUAGGGAAGAACAAGUGCUAGUUGAAUAAGCUGGCACCUUGACGGUACCUAACCAGAGAGCCACGGCUAACUACGUGCCAGCCGCCGCCGUAA